rnacentral:rRNA from 1 species
UACGAACGCUGGCGGCGCGCCUAAUACAUGCAAGUCGAGCGAGAAGACGUAGCAAUACGUUUGUAAAGCGGCGAACGGGUGGGAAUACAUGGGUAACCUACCCUCGAGUGGGGAAGUAACUAGCCGAAGGUUAAGCUAAUACCGCGUACGCUCCUUGGACUUCGGUUCAGGGAGGAAAGCGAUACCGUGGGUAUCGCGCUCUUGGAUGGGCGUCAUGUCCUAUCAGCUUGUUGGUGAGGAACGGCUCACCAAGGCUUCGACGGGUAGCUGGUCUGAGAGGACGAUCAGCCACACUGGCACUGCGACACGGGCCAGACUCCUACGGGAGGCAGCAGUAAGGAAUAUUGCGCAAUGGGCGAAAGCCUGACGCAGCGACGCCGCGUGGGGGAUGAA